GGAUAGAUGUCCGAGCGGCUGAAGGAGCAUGCCUGGAACGCGUGUAAGGUGUAAGCUUUCGAGGGUUCAAAUCCCUCUCUGUCCGCCA
rnacentral:tRNA from 9 species